AGGGAGGGUGGCAAGAGGAUGGAGCCAGGCUCUUCUCGGUGGAGCUAAACAAUAGAACAAGAGGCAACGGGCAGAAACUGAGGCACAGGAGGCUCCACCUGAAUAAGAGGAAGAAUU